CAAAGGACUAAUUAGCGUUUUCGUCCACUCUUCGCGCGGGAAGCACAAGCGACAACGCCUCAGUAGCAAAUUUACAUGAUGGAGUGCGGUCGAUUUUGUGUGUGGUUGGUGCUGGAAUAUUACUCUUUAUCAGUUUGUCUCUUUGGAACAAUAUUCAGAUGCAGAACUGUUGUUGAUGUUGAAAUUGAAGAUGCGAAGACACGAUGUAACGAAACCGAGGGAAAAUCUACAGCUUUUUUAAACACUUGUUGAAAGUUGACAAGACAGUAUACUACUUCAUCAAUAAGAGAAAUUCGUCUCAGUAAGAUAGAAGCCUAUCGAGUCUGACCAGCAAAGCAACCUACUAAGAGACUGCUUGAAUGAACGUUAGAAAGACAGUACAUCAAUUUCAUCAAAAGAAUUUCGUCGUGAUCAUUUGUCUGGUAUUCAUCACUGAUCAAGAUGAAAGCCUAUCGAGUCUGACCAGCAGAGCAAGUUUUCUCAAUUAAAGAACUUGGAAUCUGGAAUCAUAAAAAAUGGUAAAACUUGAGUAUUCAAAUCUGAAAGAGAGUUUUAUCAAACAUGUCUGGGAACUACUUGCAAACAAAUGCAUUGAGCUGCACUUAAGACUAUUUUAGCCUAUACCCAAUGGCAUGAGACUAUUUUAGCCUAUAGCCUACCCAAUGACAUGAGACUAUUUUAGACUAUACCCAAUGCCAUGAGACUAUUUCAGACUAUGCCCAAUGCCAUGAGACUAUUUUAGACUAUUCCCAAUGGCAUGAGACCAUUUUAGAUACUAUACCCAAUGCCAUAAUACUAUUUUAGACUAUACCCAAUGGCAUGAGACCAUUUAAGACCAAACCCAAUGGCAUGAGAUUAUUUAAGACCAUACUCAAUGCCAUGAGACUAUUUCAGACUAUACCCAACGCCAUGAGACUAUUUCAGACUAUGCCCAAUGCCAUGAGACUAUUUUAGACUAUACCCAAUGGCAUGAGACCAUUUUAGCCUAGCCUACCCAAUGACAUGAGACUAUUUUAGACUAUACCCAAUGUCAUGAGACUAUUUCAGACUAUGCCCAAUGCCAUGAGACUAUUUUAGACUAUUCCCAAUGGCAUGAGACCAUUUUAGAUACUAUACCCAAUGCCAUAAUACUAUUUUAGACUAUACCCAAUGGCAUGAGACCAUUUAAGACCAAGCCCAAUGGCAUGAGAUUAUUUAAGACCAUACUCAAUGACAUGAGACUAUUUUAAACUAUACUCAAUGGCAUGGGACUAUUUUAUACUAUACCCAAUGUCAUAAGACUAUUUUAGACUAUACCCAAUGGCAUGAGACUAGUUUAGACUAUUCCCAAUGCUAUGAGACUAUUUUAGACUAUUCCCAAUGCAUACGUACUUUAAUCUUAUAUGCAAGAACAAAUGGAUCGACCAAUCAUGUUCUUGUGAUUUUAAUAAACGGAAACAGAUUCUUGAUCGAACCAUUGUUUAGAACCCACAUCAAUUUUUUUUGUAUUUUUCGUUAUGCUACAAUACAAUUUCUAUAUUUGAUUCCAUAUUUAAAAAUUAAGAAUUUAUAGUUCAUGUCUUAUGUAAAAUUAGAUAGUGGAUAUAUUUAUUAUACCAAAACAUCGUUUAAAUUUGUAUUUUAAAUUUUCCAUUUCAUCACUCCAUUCAAUUCUAAACAUACAUUCCUGUGAUUACUUUAAUAAUUUGGCAUGAAGGAGGCGGCGUCAUUCAACAUAUUUGUCAUAUAACUUAA